GAUGAACGCUGGCGGCGUGCCUAAUACAUGCAAGUCGAGCGAACGGACCAGAAGCUUGCUUCUCUGAUGUUAGCGGCGGACGGGUGAGUAACACGUGGAUAACCUACCUAUAAGACUGGGAUAACUUCGGGAAACCGUAGCUAAUACCGGAUAAUAUUUUGAACCGCAUGGUUCAAAAGUGAAAGACGGUCUUGCUGUCACUUAUAGAUGGAUCCGCGCUGCAUUAGCUAGUUGGUAAGGUAACGGCUUACCAAGGCAACGAUGCAUAGCCGACCCGAGAGGGUGAUCGGCCACACUGGAACUGAGACACGGUCCAGACUCCUACGGGAGGCAGCAGUAGGGAAUCUUCCGCAAUGGGCGAAAGCCUGACGGAGCAACGCCGCGUGAGUGAUGAAGGUCUUCGGAUCGUAAAACUCUGUUAUUAGGGAAGAACAUAUGUGUAAGUAACUGUGCACAUCUUGACGGUACCUAAUCAGAAAGCCACGGCUAACUACGUG
rnacentral:rRNA from 1 species